AUUGAACGCUGGCGGCAUGCUUUACACAUGCAAGUCGAACGGCAGCGCGGGCUUCGGCCUGGCGGCGAGUGGCGCACGGGUGAGUAAUGCAUCGGAACGUGCCCAGUAGUGGGGGAUAGCCCGGCGAAAGCCGGAUUAAUACCGCAUACGACCUGAGGGUGAAAGCGGGGGACCGAAAGGCCUCGCGCUAUUGGAGCGGCCGAUGUCGGAUUAGCUAGUUGGUGGGGUAAAGGCUUACCAAGGCGACGAUCCGUAGCUGGUCUGAGAGGACGACCAGCACACUGGGACUGAGACACGGACCAGACUCCUACGGGAGGCAGCAGUGGGGAAUUUUGGGCAAUGGGGGCAACCCUGAUCCAGCCAUGCCGCGUGCGGGAAGAAGGCCUUCGGGUUGUAAACCGCUUUUGUUCGGGAAGAAAUCCUCUGGGCUAAUACCUCGGGGGGAUGACGGUACCGGACGAAUAAGCACCGGCUAACUACGUG
rnacentral:rRNA from 1 species